AUACUUACCUGACGGUGAAGCAAACCUGGUCAACAUGGGGCUUCUUCCAGGGUGAGGCUUUUGCAUUGCACUUCGCCUGGGCUGACUCUGGGUUGACUGCGAUUACCGCUAACGUCGGUAACUCGACCGUACACUUUCUGGCUGUGGGGGCCUGCGUUGGCGCUCGCCCCUU
rnacentral:snRNA from 1 species